AGUGCAUGUGGUGGAUGCCUUGGCAGUCAGAGGCGAUGAAAGACGUGAUAGCCUGCGAAAAGCUCCGGGGAGGCGGCAAAUAUCCUUUGAUCCGGAGAUGUCUGAAUGGGGGAACCCACCUACUUUAAGGUAGGUAUUGCAACAUGAAUACAUAGUGUUGCAAGGCGAACGAGGGGAAGUGAAACAUCUCAGUACCCUUAGGAAAAGAAAUCAAUUGAGAUUCCCUCAGUAGCGGCGAGCGAACGGGGAUCAGCCCAUUAAGUUAUGUGUGUUUUAGUGGAACGCUCUGGGAAGUGCGAACGUAGAGGGUGAUAUUCCCGUACACGAAAGGGCACACAUAAUGAUGACGAGUAGGGCGAGGCACGUGAAACCUUGUCUGAAUAUGGGGGGACCAUCCUCCAAGGCUAAAUACUCCUGACUGACCGAUAGUGAACCAGUACCGUGAGGGAAAGGCGAAAAGAACCCCUGUGAGGGGAGUGAAAUAGAUCCUGAAACCGCAUGCAUACAAGCAGUGGGAGCACCUUCGUGGUGUGACUGCGUACCUUUUGUAUAAUGGGUCAGCGACUUAUAUUCAGUAGCGAGGUUAACCGUAUAGGGGAGCCGUAGAGAAAUCGAGUCUUAAUAGGGCGUUUAGUUGCUGGGUAUAGACCCGAAACCAGGCGAUCUAUCCAUGAGCAGGUUGAAGGUUGGGUAACACUAACUGGAGGACCGAACCCACUGUCGUUGAAAAGCCAGGGGAUGACUUGUGGAUAGGGGUGAAAGGCUAAUCAAGCCUGGUGAUAGCUGGUUCUCCCCGAAAGCUAUUUAGGUAGCGCCUCGGACGAAUACCAUAGGGGGUAGAGCACUGUUUCGGCUAGGGGGUCAUCCCGACUUACCAAACCGAUGCAAACUCCGAAUACCUAUGAGUACUAUCCGGGAGACAGACUGCGGGUGCUAACGUCCGUAGUCAAGAGGAAAACAAUCCAGACCGCCAGCUAAGGCCCCAAAAUCAUAGUUAAGUGGGAAACGAUGUGGGAAGGCAUAGACAGCUAGGAGGUUGGCUUAGAAGCAGCCACCCUUUAAAGAAAGCGUAAUAGCUCACUAGUCGAGUCGGCCUGCGCGGAAGAUGUAACGGGGCUAAAACUAUGUGCCGAAGCUGCGGAUGUAUACUUUGUAUACGUGGUAGGGGAGCGUUCUGUAAGCCGAUGAAGGUGUGUUGAGAAGCAUGCUGGAGGUAUCAGAAGUGCGAAUGCUGACGUGAGUAACGACAAAACGGGUGAAAAACCCGUUCGCCGAAAGACCAAGGGUUCCAGUCCAACGUUAAUCGGGGCUGGGUGAGUCGACCCCUAAGGCGAGGCCGAAAGGCGUAGUCGAUGGGAAAAUGGUUAAUAUUCCAUUACUUCUGUGUAAUGCGAUGAGAGGACGGAGAAGGCUAAAUCAGCCUGGCGUUGGUUGUCCAGGUGAAAGGAUGUAGGCAUGUAUCUUAGGCAAAUCCGGGGUACUCUAUGCUGAGAUCUGAUAGCAAGCUGUACUUGUACAGCGAAGUGGUUGAUGCCAUGCUUCCAGGAAAAGUCUCUAAGCUUCAGUUACACAGGAAUCGUACCCGAAACCGACACAGGUGGUCAGGUCGAGUAGACCAAGGCGCUUGAGAGAACUCUGCUGAAGGAACUAGGCAAAAUGGUACCGUAACUUCGGGAGAAGGUACGCUGUUGUUGGUGAUGGAACUCGCUUCCUGAGCUGACGACAGCCGCAGAAACCAGGCCGCUGCAACUGUUUAUUAAAAACAUAGCACUCUGCAAACACGAAAGUGGACGUAUAGGGUGUGAUGCCUGCCCGGUGCUGGAAGGUUAAUUGAUGGGGUUAGCGUAAGCGAAGCUCUUGAUCGAAGCCCCAGUAAACGGCGGCCGUAACUAUAACGGUCCUAAGGUAGCGAAAUUCCUUGUCGGGUAAGUUCCGACCUGCACGAAUGGCAUAAUGAUGGCGGCGCUGUCUCCAGCAGAGGCUCAGUGAAAUCGAAAUCGCUGUGAAGAUGCAGUGUACCCGCGGCUAGACGGAAAGACCCCGUGAACCUUUACUGCAGCUUGACACUGAACUUUGACCUUACUUGUGUAGGAUAGGUGGGAGGCUUUGAAGCUGGAACGCUAGUUCCAGUGGAGCCGUCCUUGAAAUACCACCCUGGUAAUGUUGAGGUUCUAACUCUGUCCCGUGAUCCGG
rnacentral:rRNA from 1 species